rnacentral:rRNA from 1 species
GAUGAACGCUGGCGGCGUGCUUAACACAUGCAAGUCGAACGAGAAAUGGAGACGGAAACCUUCGGGCGGAAGGCUUCAUUUCGAGUGGCGGACGGGUGAGUAACGCGUGGGUAACCUGCCUCAUACAGGGGGAUAACAGUUGGAAACGACUGUUAAUACCGCAUAAGACCACAGCACCGCAUGGUGCGGGGGUAAAAACUCCGGUGGUAUGAGAUGGACCCGCGUUCGAUUAGCCAGUUGGCGGGGUAACGGCCCACCAAAGCGACGAUCGAUAGCCGAUCUGAGAGGAUGACCGGCCACAUUGGGACUGAGACACGGCCCAAACUCCUACGGGAGGCAGCAGUGGGGAAUAUUGCACAAUGGGGGAAACCCUGAUGCAGCGACGCCGCGUGAGUGAAGAAGUACUUAGGUAUGUAAAGCUCUAUCAGCAGGGAAGAAAAUGACGGUACCUGAGGAAGAAGCCCCGGCUAACUACGUG